GAUGAACGCUGGCGGCGUGCCUAAUACAUGCAAGUCGAGCGAACAGACGAGGAGCUUGCUCCUCUGACGUUAGCGGCGGACGGGUGAGUAACACGUGGAUAACCUACCUAUAAGACUGGGAUAACUUCGGGAAACCGGAGCUAAUACCGGAUAACAUGUUGAACCGCAUGGUUCAAAAGUGAAAGACGGUCUUGCUGUCACUUAUAGAUGGAUCCGCGCCGCAUUAGCUAGUUGGUAAGGUAACGGCUUACCAAGGCAACGAUGCGUAGCCGACCUGAGAGGGUGAUCGGCCACACUGGAACUGAGAAACGGUCCAGACUCCUACGGGAGGCAGCAGUAGGGAAUCUUCCGCAAUGGGCGAAAGCCUGACGGAGCAACGCCGCGGGAGUGAAGAAGGCCUUCGGAUCGUAAAACUCUGUUAUUAGGGAAGAACAAAUGUGUAAGUAACGAUGCACGUCUUGACGGUACCUAAGCAGAAAGCCACGGCUAACUACGU
rnacentral:rRNA from 1 species